UCCUUCGGGGAAGAUAUAAAGUGGCGCACGGGUGAGUAACACGUAGGUAAUGUACCUUUGGGUGGGGAAUAACUUAGGGAAACUUAAGCUAAUACCGCAUAAUGCAGCGGCUCCUUAUGGAGACAGUUGUUAAAGAUUUAUCGCCUAAAGAGCAGCCUGCGGCAGAUUAGCUAGUUGGUAAGGUAAUGGCUUACCAAGGCUACGAUCUGUAUCCGACCUGAGAGGGUGGUCGGACACACUGACACUGAAUAACGGGUCAGACUCCUACGGGAGGCAGCAGUCGGGAAUUUUGGGCAAUGGGCGAAAGCCUGACCCAGCAACGCCGCGUGAAGGAUGAAGUCUUUCGGGAUGUAAACUUCGUAAGAAUAGGAAGAAUAAAUGACGGUACUAUUUGUAAGGUCCGGCUAACUACGUGCCAGCAGCCGCGGUAAUACGUAGGGACCAAGCGUUGUUCGGAUUUACUGGGCGUAAAGGGCGCGUAGGCGGCAAUUCAAGUCAGUUGUGAAAUCUCCGAGCUUAACUCGGAACGGUCAACUGAUACUGCUUUGCUAGAGUACAGAAGGGGCAAUCGGAAUUCUUGGUGUAGCGGUGAAAUGCGUAGAUAUCAAGAGGAACACCUGAG
rnacentral:rRNA from 1 species